ensembl:lncRNA
UAGUUGUAUAUAAUAUUGGUAUAUAUUUGUUAGUAAAUGGUAUAUAAUAGUGGUAUAUAAUAAUAGUGGCAUAUAGGUGUUAUUUGGUGGUAUAUAAUAGUGGUAUAUAGGUGUUAGUUUGUGGUAUAUAAUAAUGGAAUGCAGGUGUUAGUUGGUGCUAUAUAAUAGUGGCAUAUAGGUGUUAUUUGGUGGUAUAUAAUAGUGGUAUAUAGGUGUUAGUUUGUGGUAUAUAAUAAUGGAAUGCAGGUGUUAGUUGGUGCUAUAUAAUAGUGGUAUAUAGGUGUUAGUUGGUGGUAUGUAAUAGUGAUAUGUAGGUGUUAGUUGGUGGUAUAUAAUAGUGGUAUAUAGGUGUUAGUUGGUGGUGUAUUAUAGUUGUAUAUAAUAUUGGUAUAUAUUUGCUGGUUAGUGGUAUAUAGGUGUUAGUUGGUGGUAUAUAGGUGUUAGUUGGUGUAUUAUAGUUGUAUAUAAUAUUGGUAUAUAUUUGCUGGUUAGUGGUAUAUAGGUGUUAGUUGGUGGUAUAUAGGUGUUAGUUGGUGUAUUAUAGUUGUAUAUAAUAUUGGUAUAUAUUCGCUGGUUGGUGGUAUAUAAUAGUGGUUUAUUGGUGUUAGUUGGUGGUAUAUAAUAGCGGUAUUUAGGUUUUAGUUGGUGGUAUAUAAUAGUGGUAUAUAGGUGUUAGUUGGUGGUGUAUAAUAGUGGUUUAUUGGUGUUAGUUGGUGGUAUAUAAUAGCGGUAUUUAGGUGUUAGUUGGUGGUAUAUAAUAGUGGUUUAUUGGUGUUAGUUGGUGGUGUAUAAUAGUGGUUUAUUGGUGUUAGUUGGUGGUAUAUAACAGUGGUAUAUAGGUGUUAGUUGGUGGUGUAUUAUAGUUGUAUAUAAUAUUGGUAUAUAUUUGUUAGUAAAUGGUAUAUAAUAGUGGUAUAUAAUAAUAGUGGCAUAUAGGUGUUAUUUGGUGGUAUAUAAUAGUGGUAUAUAGGUGUUAGUUUGUGGUAUAUAAUAAUGGAAUGCAGGUGUUAG